AUUGAACGCUGGCGGCAGGCCUAACACAUGCAAGUCGAACGGUAACAGGAAGACGCUUGCUUCUUUGCUGACGAGUGGCGGACGGGUGAGUAAUGUCUGGGAAACUGCCUGAUGGAGGGGGAUAACUACUGGAAACGGUAGCUAAUACCGCAUAACGUCGCAAGACCAAAGAGGGGGACCUUCGGGCCUCUUGCCAUCGGAUGUGCCAGAUGGGAUUAGCUAGUAGGUGGGGUAACGGCUCACCUAGGCGACGAUCCCUAGCUGGUCUGAGAGGAUGACCAGCCACACUGGAACUGAGACACGGUCCAGACUCCUACGGGAGGCAGCAGUGGGGAAUAUUGCACAAUGGGCGCAAGCCUGAUGCAGCCAUGCCGCGUGUAUGAAGAAGGCCUUCGGGUUGUAAAGUACUUUCAGCGGGGAGGAAGGGAGUAAAGUUAAUACCUUUGCUCAUUGACGUUACCCGCAGAAGAAGCACCGGCUAACUCCGUG
rnacentral:rRNA from 1 species